rnacentral:lncRNA from 1 species
UUGGCCUUUGAUCCACUUUAUUCUCUUCUUUUCUUUUUUAACUUAAACCUCCUUUCUGUUUUCUGGUGAGUUGGUUUGUAGCACUUCCAUACAUUUGACUGGGCCUUGAUAACAUGCUACACCCUAAGACAAAUGCUUUCUUUCCUUUUUUUUUUUUAAUUGGAAGCUCGAAAAAGUUCUGUGCAAAACCCAUGUCCAAAGC